rnacentral:lncRNA from 1 species
CAUUUUUAUUUUUCUGUUGAAUCUUCUUCGUCUUCUUCGUAAUUGAUUGAAUUUGAGGGUUUAACUCAGUAAAUUAGGGAUUUCAUUUGUUCGAAUUCUUUUUUGUUUUGGGGGAUGGCGGGAAACAAAUUUUCGCUUCUUCUAGAUACGCACUCACUACUACUGUUCUCUUCUCUGGUUUCUGUGUAUAUUUUUCUUGUGAACAUUUUAAAAAUACUCAUUUC